UGAACUACCCAGACUCUAUUGAGUAAGCC
rnacentral:piRNA from 1 species